UACAGAGGUCCCAAGCGUUGUUCGGAUUCACUGGCGUAAAGGGGUGCGUAGGUGGUUGGGUAAGUCUGAUGUGAAAUCUCCGGGCUCAACCCGGAAAUGGCAUUGGAUACUAUUCGGCUAGAGGUUUGGAGGGGGGACUGGAAUUCUCGGUGUAGCAGUGAAAUGCGUAGAUAUCGAGAGGAACACCAGUGGCGAAGGCGAGUCCCUGGACAAACACCUGACACUGAGGCAACGAAAGCUAGGGGAGCAAACAGG
rnacentral:rRNA from 1 species